rnacentral:rRNA from 1 species
AUGAACGCUAGCGGCAGGCCUAAUACAUGCAAGUCGAACGGGUGUAGCAAUACACUAGUGGCGCACGGGUGCGUAACGCGUAACCAACCUGCCCUUGACUGGGGGAUAGCCCGCCGAAAGGCGGAUUAAUACCGCAUAAACUAGCAACUCGGCAUCGAGUAACUAGUAAAGAUUUAUUGGUCAAGGAUGGGGUUGCGUAGCAUUAGCUAGUUGGCGGGGUAAUGGCCCACCAAGGCGACGAUGCUUAGGGGACCUGAGAGGGUGAUCCCCCACACUGGCACUGAGAUACGGGCCAGACUCCUACGGGAGGCAGCAGUAGGGAAUAUUGGGCAAUGGGCGAGAGCCUGACCCAGCCAUGCCGCGUGCCGGAUGAAGGCCUUCUGGGUUGUAAACGGCUUUUCUCAGGGAAGAAAAAGGUGAUGCGUCACAAACUGACGGUACCUGAGGAAUAAGCACCGGCUAACUCCGU